GCACCUACCGAUUGAAUGACUCGGUGAGAAAUUGGGACUGUUAGUUUGCUUGCUUCAUUGUGAGUGAGUUGAUGGAAACUUUGUCAAACCUCGCCAUUUAGAGGAAGGUGAAGUCGUAACAAGGUUUCC
rnacentral:rRNA from 1 species